AGAGUUUGAUCCUGGCUCAGGAUGAACGCUAGCGGCAGGCUUAAUACAUGCAAGUCGAGGGGCAGCAUGACUGUAGCAAUACAGUUGAUGGCGACCGGCAAACGGGUGCGGAACACGUACACAACCUUCCUGUAACUGGGGAAUAACCCGGAGAAAUUCGGACUAAUACCCCAUAGCAUAUUGAAGUGGCAUCACUUUAA
rnacentral:rRNA from 1 species